AUUCAAGCGUUAAAGUGCAUCUGGUGGAUGCCUUGGCAAUCAGAGGCGAUGAAGGACGUGGUACGCUGCGAUAAGCUUCGGGGAGCUGUGAACAAGCUUUGAUCCGGAGAUUUCCGAAUGGGGGAACCCACUGCGCAAGCAGUAUCCUCACCUGAAUACAUAGGGUGAGUGAAGCGAACCUGGGGAAGUGAAACAUCUCAGUACCCAGAGGAAAAGACAUCAACCGAGAUUCCGUUAGUAGUGGCGAGCGAACGCGGAACAGCCCAGUAGUUGUUUUGUAAGAACUAGAAGUGAUUGGAAACUCACGCCAUAGACGGUGAUAGCCCGGUAUAGGUAGAAAGCAAGAUGACUCUUGAGUAGGGCGGGACACGUGAAAUCCUGUCUGAAUAUGGGGGGACCAUCCUCCAAGGCUAAAUACUCCUGAUUGACCGAUAGUGCACUAGUACUGUGAAGGAAAGGUGAAAAGCACCCCAAGUGGGGAGUGAAAAAGACCUGAAACCGGAUGCAUACAAACAGUAGGAGCGGACUUGUUCCGUGACUGCGUACCUUUUGUAUAAUGGGUCCGCGAGUUAGUCUUGCAUGCGAGCUUAAGCCGUUAGGUGUAGGCGUAGGGAAACCGAGUCUGAAUAGGGCGAUAGUAUGCAGGAUUAGAUCCGAAGCCCGGUGAUCUAGCCAUGGCCAGGUUGAAGUUGCAGUAACAUGCAAUGGAGGACCGAACCGGUAAGUGUUGAAAAACUUUCGGAUGAGCUGUGGUUAGGGGUGAAAGGCCAAUCAAACCGGGUAAUUGCUGAUUCUCCGCGAAAACUAUUUAGGUAGUGCGUCGUGUCUUACCUUCGGGGGUAGAGCACUGGAUGGGCUAGGGGGUCGCAAGAUCUACCAAACCCAACCAAACUCCGAAUACCGAAGAGUACAAUCACGGCAGACAGACAGUGGGUGAUAACGUCCAUUGUCAAGAGGGAAACAACCCAGACCUACAGCUAAGGUCCCCAAAUGAUAACUAAGUGUGAAAGGAAGUUGGACUUCCAUGACAACCAGGAAGUUGGCUUAGAAGCAGCCAUCUUUUAAAGAAAGCGUAAUAGCUCACUGGUCUAAAUAAGAGGUCCGGCGCCGAAGAUGUAACGGGGCUAAAGUUAUCUACCGAAGCUUAGGAUGCUUUAUAGCAUGGUAGCGGAGCGUUGUGUAAGCCUGUGAAGGAUAACCGUGAGGGAGUCUGGAGGUAUCACAAGUGAGAAUGCGGACAUGAGUAACGAUAAACAGAGUGAGAAACUCUGUCGCCGAAAAUCCAAGGUUUCCUGUCCAAGGUUAAUCCGGGCAGGGUGAGCCGGCCCCUAAGGCGAGGCUGAAAAGCGUAGUCGAUGGGAACCAGGUUAAUAUUCCUGGGCCUGCUGGAAGUGACGGUGGCCGAAAGCUGUACAUUCUUAUUGGAUUGAAUGUGCAGCCUGGGACAUCCAGGAAAUAACUCCAGCGUAUAGACCGUACCCUAAACCGACACAGGUGGAUUAGUAGAGAAUACUUAGGCGCUUGAGAGAACGAUGUUGAAGGAACUCGGCAAAUUACAUGCGUAACUUCGGGAUAAGCAUGCCCCAUUAAAAGGCAACUUUUGGUGGGGGGCACAAACUAGGGGGUAGCGACUGUUUACCAAAAACACAGGGCUCUGCGAAAACGUAAGUUGACGUAUAGGGUCUGACGCCUGCCCGGUGCCGGAAGAUUAAGAGGAGAUGUUAACGCAUUGAAUUGAAGUCCCGGUAAACGGCGGCCGUAACUAUAACGGUCCUAAGGUAGCGAAAUUCCUUGUCGGGUAAGUUCCGACCU
rnacentral:rRNA from 1 species